CCUACGGGAGGCAGCAGUAGGGAAUAUUGGUCAAUGGACGCAAGUCUGAACCAGCCAUGCCGCGUGAAGGAUGAAGGCCCUAUGGGUCGUAAACUUCUUUUAUUAGGGAAGAAAAAACGGGAUGCGUCCUGUACUGACGGUACUUAAUGAAUAAGGAUCGGCUAACUUCGUGCCUGCAGCCGCGGUAAGACGAAGGAUCCAAGCGUUGUCCGGAUUUACUGGGUUUAAAGGGUGCGUAGGCGGAAAAUUAAGUCAGUGGUGAAAGCCCGCAGCUCAACUGUGGAACUGCCAUUGAAACUGGUUUUCUUGAAUGUAGCUGAGGCAGAUGGAAUAUAACAUGUAGCGGUGAAAUGCUUAGAUAUGUUAUAGAACACCGAUUGCGAAGGCAGUCUGCUAAACUAUUAUUGACGCUGAGGCACGAAAGCGUGGGGGGCGAACAGGAUUAGAUACCCUGGUAGUCCACGCCCUAAACGUUGAUUACUCGCUGUUGGCGAUAUACUGUCAGUGGCUAAGCGAAAGCGUUAAGUAAUCCACCUGGGAAGUACGACCGCAAGGUUGAAACUCAAAGGAAUUGACGG
rnacentral:rRNA from 1 species